AGAAAUGUCAGCCUUUUCAAUGUAAUCUAUCUGAACAAUUCACUGGCAUUUCAGAUGGGAAAUGUUUUUUUAAAAACUGAUUUUUUGAAACUUCAUCUCCUAUCCCAAACUCUCAGGCCUCUCUCUUAACCUUCCAAUUUUAAUCAAUGGCAUUUCCAUUCUCCUAGCAGACCACCCACCGUGAUCAUCUGGCUUUGUUCUUACGGAAGCCAGGUUGAAGCUACCCAGUACCCAAGUAGCCCCAUCCAAUGGGAAAUUCCAAAUCAAGGCCUCCAAAGAGAUAAGUCCUGGAAUACAGGAGUCAAAAUGGGCCCCGAAACAGACAAUUCACAAUUAAAUUCCCCAGAAGAGCAGGAAGUUUGCCCUCGAGGUGCAGGCUUGUAGAGAUUACUCAAAUGGACUAAACUGUACAAAAGGCAGCCAUGGACAAGUUACAGGUCCAUUGUAUCAGUAUCCGUCCUUGACUCUGUAUCCAAAGCAGAGUCUUCUAUGUGGGCAGGGUAAAAAGAGGCUUCCCCAGAAUCAAACAGUCCUGAUCACAAUAUCUCCCUGCCCUCAGAUUUGCUAAUCAGAAAACCACCCCUACACAGUUGCAAAGACACCUCCCCCAAGGCCUUCGCCAGCCCUGAGGGCACCUCCACAGUGAAACAUGUCCUUUUGGCUUUCCAGCUUGAUUCCCAAAAGCCAGUCAAACCAGGGUGGAAGCCUCCACUGUGUUCUACAUCCCGUGCAGUGAGUGGAGCUUUGUGAAGUUGCCUUAGAUUGCUAAGGGCAGAACUGUGCCCAGACAGAAAUAGGCAAACCGAAUUUCUCUUGUGUUCCCUUACUCUUUUUCAUGACUGCUCUCAUUCUGCUCUCUUCUCCACUAGCCCGGGUGUCUGGGACGCUUGCGUCGUUUCUAGGCUCUCCCAAAAGAGUCUCGUAUCCAGCCCUUCCCUCCCUGAGAAUCGCCCCAGUCUAUUUGUCCUUCUCCCCUCCCCUAGUUCUGUUAAAAAUGACCUCAUUUGUGUCUCAUUCUGAUCAGGUCUUGGGCUCUUCUUUACAAAGUGGCAAUCCUAGUCUGUCAACUGACUCGUGUUCAUGGGUUUAUACCCUCUUCCCAGCCAGGUCACCCCUGAGCUUAAACAUGGCCUCAUGAAAACCAGGUCCCCAUGAUCACCCUAAGGUAACCUACAAAGCUCUAGCCCUGGAAGGCAGGAAGAUGACUGCUGGGAGACAUAUUUUAAGAGUGACACGUCAGAGGCAGCUCUCGACUUUUUAAAAAAGUGCCAUGUUCUCUAUUGUUACACUCUAUGAUUACUGUACUAAGGGCCCAUCCUGACUUCUCUGGAAUUUUCUGCAAAUAUGUAGUUCUGGUGUAACUUCAGCAGGGGUAAAAAUUCAAUGGUACAUAACUGACAAUUUAUCAAAUUAAGAAAUAGAACAUGCAAGUUUUUCUUAUAAGAAUUUUGUAACGUAAAUGGUCAUUGUGCUAAUUCAGACCUCAACUUCUCUGCUGCUAUAAAGUCUCCAACAGAAAAAGCCAGUAAUGGUCAUAAAACUGAUCAUGUUUUUUGAUUCAGGAAAUCCUUUUUUGAACAAUAACAUACAAAGACGAAAAGUAAACAAAGCUGCCUGUUUGAAUAUAAACACAUAUGCAGACAAAAAAAACAAAUAAAUGGGUUAGAGAAACAACAACAAAAAAAUUACAUCCAUGGAGGUAAAGGGAGGAUUGUUGCGUUAAUUGUAACUCAAACCUCUUAACACUUGAGGAAUGAUUAAGCAAGCUAGGGUGUCGUUACUGGGUAUAUUUGAUGGUGUACAAUAGUAUAUGUUACUUAGAUAUUAAAUGAAAUGUGUAUACUAUGUAGAUUUAUAGAGACGUUUAUAGUAAAUAAGGUUCUGUGAAAAUAAUAUGACUCAAAAUGUUAAAUAGGAUAAGCAAUAUAAAUGUGUCACAACGCCCUGGAGUGCAGGCUGAUCCCUGGAGACCAGUACUGAGUCAUCUGGUCUGCUCAAGGGCCAAUUAAGGAAA
rnacentral:lncRNA from 1 species